rnacentral:rRNA from 1 species
GACGAACGCUGGCGGCGUGCUUAACACAUGCAAGUCGAACGGUAAGGCCCUUCGGGUACGACGAGUGGCGAACGGGUGGAGUAACACGUGGGUGAUCUGCCCUGCACUUCGGGAUAAGCCUGGGAAACUGGGUCUAAUACCGGAUAGGACCAUGGACUUCACGGUUUGUGGUGGAAAGCUUUUGCGGUGUGGGAUGGCCCGCGGCCUAUCAGCUUGUUGGUGGGGUAAUGGCCCUACCAAGGCGACGACGGGUAGCCGGCCUGAGAGGGUGUCCGGCCACACUGGGGACUGAGAUACGGCCCAGACUCCUACGGGAGGCAGCAGUGGGGAAUAUUGCACAAUGGGCGCAAGCCUGAUGCAGCGACACCGCGUGAGGGAUGACGGCC